UCCCUGGUGGACUAGUGGUUAGGCCGCUGUGGCCCGGGUUCGAUUCCCGGCCAGGGAA
rnacentral:tRNA from 1 species